rnacentral:rRNA from 1 species
UACGGAGGGUGCGAGCGUUAAUCGGAAUUACUGGGCGUAAAGGGUGCGUAGGUGGUUUGGUAAGAUAUCUGUGAAAUCCCCGGGCUUAACCUGGGCAGGUCAGAUAUAACUGCUGAACUCGAGUAUAGGAGAGGGUAGUGGAAUUUCCGGUGUAGCGGUGAAAUGCGUAGAGAUCGGAAGGAACACCAGUGGCGAAGGCGGCUACCUGGCCAAAUACUGACACUGAGGCACGAAAGCGUGGGGAGCAAACAGGAUUAGAUACCCUGGUAGUCCACGCUGUAAACGAUGUCAACUAGCUGUUGGCCAUAUGAAUGUGGUUAGUGGCGAAGCUAACGCGAUAAGUUGACCGCCUGGGGAGUACGGUCGCAAGAUUAGA